UCUCAGUUCGGAUUGGAGUCUGCAACUCGACUCCAUGAAGCUGGAUUCGCUAGUAAUCGCGCAUCAGCCAUGGCGCGGUGAAUACGUUCCCGGGCCUUGUACACACCGCCCGUCAAGCCAUGGAAGCCGGGAGUGCCUGAAGUGUGCAACCGCAAGGAGCGCCCUAAGGUAAAACUGGUGACUGGGGCUAAGUCGUAACAAGGUAGC
rnacentral:rRNA from 1 species